GGCCUCUCACGCUCACCACACACGGUAUUCUUAUACUGACAGUAUAUACAGAGGAGGCAGAGUAAACUGAUUCUCUACGUAGCUUAGCCAUCGUGCCCGAUCUGUAUUGUGAAUGGAAUACACGG